rnacentral:lncRNA from 1 species
GGGUAAUCUACCUCCCUUAACACAGCUUGAUGUUGCAUUGCUUUUGCGUGUGGAUGCUUUAUCAGUUCAAUUUGCAGCCCUUUGUCUGCACUGGAUAUCCUUUGUAGGUCAGCUGCCAUGUGGGGAGCCUACAUGUGUGCAGUGCUUAAUUGGUCUCUCAGCUCCUUCCCGUUCUAUACUUCGUUUUGCUUACAGAGCUCAUAAUUUCCCUCCCAUUUCUCCUUCCCAGGAGAGAAGGCAAGAUAAUGAUGAUAUAUUCUCACCUGAUGGACCCUGCUGAGACAGUGAUUUUGGCCGUGAGGGAGACAUUGCAGAUCUGUAUUUGGAGCUGGCAUCCUGCAGCUGCUGGUCACUGCAUGCCACAGUUCAGAGGCCUCACCUUCCUCUCCUACCAUACGCACCAAUUAGAAAGCCAGAGAUGCAGGGAGGCUAAGGAAUGAAGCUAGUGAGCAGCUAGUCUUAAUGACAGAGGUAGGAAUGGGAAGAAGCACUGCUUGAAAUAGACCCAGGAGCAAGCCUUCAGUAUAGCUUCAAUACUGCUGCUAUCACGACUGGUCCUUGCUUGGCUUUCCUCUUGUGGGUUGAGUGUAGACAUGAGCCUUUGCAAGAGGUUAACAGCCUGGUACUCCUUAAUCAUCUGCUGUAUGGAAAUGAGAAAAAAAUCCACUUGGUGCCCUUGCAAGAAGCUCUUGGUCCAGAAUUUGAAGUCCUGCAAGCAGUCACUGCAGCCUGUGCUGGUGCUGCCAGGCACUUCCCUGCCUCCUCUCCCAGCUCCAUAGAUAACUCCAGCAGGGGCUGACACACUCUCCCGACGGCUACAUCACUUCUCUUCAGGGCACUGACAGCUGAACAGUGCCUGGCAGUAUUCGCCCUGCUCCCUCACAGAGCUUUCAGUAAGGAAAUCUCCAGGCAAAACAAAGAGGUUUGAAGAGGUUCAGAAUUUGUCCUGUCCAUUUCCUUAGAGAUAUUGUGUCAGACAUCUUUUAAGGGAGUUGAUUCAAUUAUACAAAUCUAAGGUGCAACUAAUCACUUGACAUUUCUCUGGCCUUUAUACAUAAAAUUGGACUCAGGGCAGAGAAAUUACUGGCAUGCCUGAGCACACAUUCAGAAUCCCAUUUCCUCUGCUGGAUGGAAAGCACUACAAGAUGGUCCUCCUGAAGUGUGAGCUGAAGUGAAAGUACCUCAGAAGCAAGCUGCCACUGCUUCCUUCUUCUAGGUGGGUGUGAUUUGUGAUGGCUUUCCACUGAAAUACUUUGUGCAGAGAGGUGAAUGUGGGCUGAAGAAGAAACAGAGCACUGCAAAAAGAUGUCCAAAGCGAUAACUCAUUACCCCAGAGUGCACCACAGCCAAUCCCUGUUUGUACCUUGGUAUUCAGGAGAGCUUAUGAGGGAAGAUGAGAGCUGAUUAACCUUUCUAUUUCAUUUUUAAUAUUAAAUGUUA